rnacentral:SRP_RNA from 2 species
GCCGGGUGUGGUGGUGCAUACCUUGUAAUCCCAGCUACUUGGGAGGCUGAGACAGGAGAAUCGCUUGAACCCAGGAGGCAGAGGCUGCAGUGAGCCGAGAUUGUGCCAUUGCACUCCAGCCUGGGUGACAGAGCGAGACCCUGUCUCAA